rnacentral:rRNA from 1 species
ACCAAUAAGCGUUGAAAAGCUUCUGGAUGAGCCGAGUGUAGGAGUGAAAGGCCAAUCAAACUUGGAGAUAGCUCGUACUCCCCGAAAGGCAUUUAGGUGCCGCGUCGGAUGGUCACCGUGAGAGGUAGAGCGACCGAUAGGACGAGAGGGCUUCACCGCCUAUCGAGUCCUGACGAACUCCGAAUGCUCGCGGUCCGCAGUCUGGCAGUAAGGGGGCGGGUGCUAAGGUCCGUCCCCGAGAGGAGAAGAAUCCUGACCGUCGUCUAAGGUCCCGAAAUUCUGUCUAAGUUAGUCUAACGAGGUCUGGUCUCAGUGACAGCUAGGAUGUUGGCUUGGAAGCAGCCAUUCAUUCAAAGAGUGCGUAACAGCUCACUAGUCGAGAGACCGGGCAUGGAUAAUAAUCGGGUAUUAAGUCAGAUACCGAAGGCACGGGGUAGCAGAGCAAUGAAAAGUACCGGUAGGGGAGCAUUCCACCUCCGUCGAAUGGUUUCCGUGAGGAUUCCUGGAGGGCGUGGAAAAGCAAAUGUAGGCAUAAGUAACGACUAGGGGCGUGAGAACCGCCCCCGCCGCAAGUCUAAGGUUUCCCGGGCGAUGCCAGUCAGCCCGGGGUCAGUCGGGUCCUAAGGCUCAGCCGAACGGCGAGGCCGAUGGCAGACACGGUUAAUAUUCCGUGACCCUCUGCUGGAGCGACGUGGAGACGGAGCAGUGACACCACCGCGCCCUGACGGAAUAGGGCGUUGAAGGCCGUAGGUGCUGAUGGAGGCAGGCAAAUCCACCUCCAGAGCUGAAAGCCGACAGUACGCUUCCUCCUCCGGGAGGCGGCGAUAGCGUGGGUAACCAUACUUCCUAGAAAAUCCGCUAAGCAUAUCCAUUGGAGGCCCGUACCGCAAUCCGACACAGGUAGACGGGUAGAACAUACUGAGGCGUUGGGAGAUUCAUGGCUAAGGAACUAGGCAAACUGACCCCGUAACUUCGGGAUAAGGGGUCCUCACGGCAACGUGAGGCGCAGAGAAUAGGCCCAGGCAACUGUUUAACAAAAACACAGGGCUGUGCAAACUCGAAAGAUGAUGUAUACAGCCUGACACCUGCCCGGUGCCGGAAGGUUAAGAGGAGGAGUCAGCCCCUUGUGGGUGAAGCCCCGAGUUGAAGCCCCGGUAAACGGCGGCCGUAACUAUAACGGUCCUAAGGUAGCGAAAUUCCUUGUCGGGUAAGUUCCGACCUGCACGAAUGGUGUAAUGAUCCGGACGCUGUCUCAACCGUGAGCCCAGUGAAAUUGUAGUAUCGGUGAAGAUGCCGAUUACCCGCGAUGGGACGAAAAG